AUCAUGGCUCAGGAUGAACGCUAGCUACAGGCUUAACACAUGCAAGUCNGGGGAAACGAUAGAGAAAGCUUGCUUUUUCUAGGCGUCGACCGGCGCACGGGUGAGUAACGCGUAUCCAACCUGCCCAUCACUUGGGGAUAACCUUGCGAAAGUAAGACUAAUACCCAAUGAUAUCUCUAGAAGACAUCUGAAGGAGAUUAAAGAUUCAUCGGUGAUGGAUGGGGAUGCGUCUGAUUAGCUUGUUGGCGGGGUAACGGCCCACCAAGGCAACGAUCAGUAGGGGUUCUGAGAGGAAGGUCCCCCACAUUGGAACUGAGACACGGUCCAAACUCCUACGGGAGGCAGCAGUGAGGAAUAUUGGUCAAUGGGCGAGAGCCUGAACCAGCCAAGUAGCGUGCAGGAUGACGGCCCUAUGGGUUGUAAACUGCUUUUAUAAGGGAAUAAAGUGGGUCACGUGUGACUUUUUGCAUGUACCUUAUGAAUAAGGACCGGCUAAUUCCGUG
rnacentral:rRNA from 1 species